rnacentral:rRNA from 1 species
GCUACCACAUCCAAGGAAGGCAGCAGGCGCGCAAAUUACCCACUCUCGGCACGAGGAGGUAGUGACGAAAAAUAACGAGACGGAUCUCUUUGAGGCCCGUUAUCGGAAUGAGAACAAUUCAAAUCCUUUAACGAGGAUCUAGCGGAGGGCAAGUCUGGUGCCAGCAGCCGCGGUAAUUCCAGCUCCGCAGGUGUAUAUCUAUGCUGCUGCGGUUAAAAAGCUCGUAGUUGGAUCUGCGUGCUCGGAACUGGUUGGCUCACUGAGUUCAAACUGGUCUCCGGCGCUUUAUUGGCUGGUUUUCCCUUGAUGCUCUUAACCGGGUGUCUUGGGUGGCUAGCACGUUUACUUUGAAAAAAUUAGAGUGCUCAAUACAGGCGUAAAGCCUUGAAUAGUGGUGCAUGGAAUAAUAGAAUAGGACCUCGGCUCUAUUUUGUUGGUUUUCGGAACGCGAGGUAAUGAUUAAGAGGGACAGACGGGGGCAUUCGUAUUGCGACGUUAGAGGUGAAAUUCUUGGAUCGUCGCAAGACGGACGACUGCGAAAGCAUUUGCCAAGAAUGUUUUCAUUAAUCAAGAACGAAAGUUAGAGGUUCGAAGGCGAUCAGAUACCGCCCUAGUUCUAACCGUAAACGAUGCCAACUAGCGAUUCGCAGGCGUUAAACAACGACCUUGCGGGCAGCUUCCCGGAAACGAAAGUGUUCGGGUUCCGGGGGAAGUAUGGUUGCAAAGCUGAAACUUAAAGGAAUUGACGGAAGGGCACCACCAGGAGUGGAGCCUGCGGCUUAAUUUGACCCAACACGGGAAAACUCACCCGGCCCGGACACCGUAAGGAUUGACAGAUUGAGAGCUCUUUCUUGAUUCGGUGGGUGGUGGUGCAUGGCCGUUCUUAGUUGGUGGAGCGAUUUGUCUGGUUUAUUCCGAUAACGAACGAGACUCUGGCCUACUAAAUAGUGGGCGGAUUCUUUCUGUCCGCAACACUUCUUAGAGGGACAAGCGGUGUUCAGCCGCACGAGAUUGAGCAAUAACAGGUCUGUGAUGCCCUUAGAUGUCCGGGGCUGCACGCGCGCUACACUGAAGGAAUCAGCGUGCUUUCUGACCUUGCCCGAAAGGGCUGGGUAACCCGAUGAAAAUCCUUCGUGAUUGGGAUAGGGACUUGCAAUUAUUUCCCUUGAACGAGGAAUUCCCAGUAAGUGUGGGUCAUAAGCUCGCGUUGAUUACGUCCCUGCCCUUUGUACACACCGCCCGUCGCUGCCCGGAACUGAGCCGUUUCGAGAAGAACAGGGACCGUCGUUGAAGGGCCUUAACGGGCUUUUCUCUGAUAGAAACUGUUUUAAUCGCAGUGGCUUGAACCGGGCAAAAGUCGUAACAAGGUU